CCUCCAAGUCAUAGGCGCCCAUCGCGUGCUCCUCCAACACGUGCACUUCGUACGAGCCUUUCUCCCUCGCCAAUUGCUCGACGCCGGCCAGCCCCUGCGCCUACGACUACCGGUCGGUCAGUGCCCACCUCCACUCCACCGCACACCUCCCUCCUUCUCCCAUGUCGAGCCCAAACACCCCGACCCCUCUAGCCCUCCACCCGGCCGAGCUCAACCUGGUUGCCUCUCUUGCUCGCCACCAGUACUCAUCCCGACACCCUGAAGCCCCUUCAAUGCACCAUCUACUGGUGGAAAAAUAGAUGACGCUCAGCCGCCCACCAACCACUCGAGGAAAUGCCUACUGAAGUAACAAAACUGCUGACUUCAGCUUCCUGUUAAAUAUGCAUCCCUGAUCCCAUGCAGCAUGGAUCAGCGCCGUCACCAAUCGGAGGCCCCUCGCUUUCCCCCAGUGGGCGGCGCGAGGUCAGCCGGGCACGGCGGCCGCGGCCAGAGGAGCAUCUCCUCCACCGCCACCACCACCUCCAGAAUCUUGCUGCCCCUUACAUUCACUUAGGAUCAGUUUAAUGGCAUUGGCAUUAGUUAAAAUUUAGGUAGGACAAAGCAAAAAUAACUUCAAGAACAGUUGCCAUCUUCUGACCUAAAUAACUUUCUUCAUGAUCCUCUUCUGUCUGCAAAUUGUUAAAAUUUAUAUCAUGGAUCAAUAUAACAUGACUUGUUGAAUUUAAUAAAGUUAAUUGUUUGGGCAUUGUUUGCCUUGUAAGUGUGGACAACAGUUAAUGUCCAUAAGUGUCAGUGCCUACUAUUGUAGUGACUAUGCAUGGUGAUUUGUUAACUGUGAAAUGUUAUCUUUUUAAAUUUGAUUCAGCUGUACUUGAAGUUAUGUUAGCAUUUCAUUUCUUCCCAUAUUCUAAGUUUUUUUACUGCAGUUUAGUCAUUGAGCCAUUUCCUGGAGUUCAGAUAAACAACACAUAACCUCACAUGCACCACAUGUCCUGAUUGUCAAUGAUCCAUAUGGCCAUUAGUUUGACCUAUCAGUCCCAUGAAUUUCACUUUAUAAUUAAGCGAGCAAGAUAAACAGAAAAGCUGCAUCUUUACGGCACCAAAAUCUCUCCGUGCUCAUCAAAUUCGUAGUGUUCUUGAGUGUAUUGGUGAUUGAAGAGCUUCCCAUCUAUGUUGCUUUGGAAAAUUAAGUGCUCAGUAUAUAGUCUUUUUAGGCUUCCAAAUUUUCCUAAUGUUCUCAUUUCUAGCAGGAAAAGACUGAAAAUAGGAUUCUAACCUGUCAGUUUAUAUCCUUCUGAAUGUGAAAAAGCCAGUCUAGAAAGUACAUCAGGUUUAACCUAUAAUCCAUUUAUUUGUAAUAUUGUCGUAGUGUAAGCUUUUGAAUUGUUUAUAUCCACAAAUUCUAUCAACACCAUACGGGUAAACUAUGCUACACUUAAUAAUUUUCAAGGGAACUUAUGCUACACAUACUUAGCUACCUAAUGCUUGUAGUUGUAGUUAAAUGGAAAUUCUAAAAGAGAGAAGGACAAGGACAGGCGUAUCUUUGGGUAACCCGAUAUGCAGCUCAUUGAAAAUGUAGUGCUAUAACAUCAUCUCUGCUCUGUAUCUUAGAUUGAUAGAAUAUCAUGGAAACUAUAGCAUUUUAUUUGUACAUUAUUGCCUACAACUGCAUGUUUCACUAAGUAAUGUAAGAUCACAACUGAAAUGCACACUCAUGCAUAUGCACAUAUUCUAUUUGCAUGAUUUUAACUGUUACCUUUUACCUACAGCGCUUGGGACAAGAGCCAUUAUUACCAACAGGGCAAUCGAGAUGAUGAACACGGUGAAAAACAGGACACCAAAAGGCAAAAAAAAUACCUAACUGUUAAUGAUAUCAAGGAACGAAGGAGUGGAGGAGAUGGAAACACAUUUGGCAUCAAAAUAUUUGGUUUACUACUAUCCAGUUACCUUUUGUGAACUACAAAUGGAAAGAACAUUGAAGAAUGAUAUUUUGCUCUCCACAAGCUGAUAAUAUGACCCUUGUAUUUUGCUAAUGUGGUACACAAAUCUUUGGUAACAACAUGCUGUUCGUGCAGUGGCAAACAUCAAUCUUUUGCCCAGUACAUCUGAAACAACAAUCUUUUGGCCCCUAUGUAAAGCCAGGAUCCUUAUAAAACCAUGUAACAUUUAGAAUUCUGGUGGUUCAAUGCAAUUAUGAUGCUUGCAGAUCA